GGUUUUGUUAUGCAAAGUCAGUUUAGGUAUGGAAGAGAGAUAUGCACAUUUUCAGGUAGGCCUGGAAUGGCCCAGAAUGAUAAUCUGCAGCCGGCUGUCUAUUUGUGCUUGAACAAUGAAGCAUAAAGCUACGUUAUUAUUCUGGCCUGUAGGCAUCCAGGAGCUCUUUAAGUGGCUCUUGGGGUUUUCCAUGCAAACAGGUGGGUCACACUCAGGCCAAGGGGCCAUUUGGGAAAUGGUUCCCUGAUUCAGGCCCCUUGGCAGAUCUCAUUUCUUUUCCCUAGAAGUUUUAUUAUGAAAAAUUCAAAUAUACAGCAAAGUUGAAAGAACUUUACAGUCAGAUGUCCGCCGCCUAGAUUCUACCAUUAACAUUCAACCUUUCUUGUUGAUCCCAUUAUCUAGCCAUUUCUCUCCCCAUUCAUCGAUCCUCCCCCUCACUAAGGGGGCGGGAGCAAACUCCAGAUGGCUUUUUUUUUUUUUUUUUAAGAUUUUAUUUAUUUAUUCGACAGAGAUAGAGACAGCCAGCGAGAGAGGGAACACAAGCAGGAGGAGUGGGAGAGGAAGAAGCCGGCUCCUAGCAGGGAGCCUGAUGUGGGGCUCGAUCCCAUAACGCCGGGAUCACGCCCUGAGCCGAAGGCAGACGCUUAACCGCUGUGCCACCCAGGCGCCCCUCCAGGUGGCUUUUAAGUGGUGAUUCCAGAGGGUGCCCCUUGCAUACCUUCAGUUUUAGGAUCCUGGGCAAGCGCCGCUAUUCCCCCGCUAGCCGGAUUUGGCGGACGCGGAAGGCGGGAUUGGGGCUCCGGGGCGCCACGGCGCCCCCCGGCGGAGGCACCGCUCGCUGCAGCCCCGCGGGCCGAGGGGUGCGCUUCUGGGCGCUCGCCGCCGCCGCCGCCGUGCCUUUGAGUCAGCAAACUCCGCCGCCUGCCAGGCCGCCGGCUUGGCCCUGCCGGGAGGAGCCGUCCGACUUUCUAUCUGGCUUAUCUUCGCCUUCUUGGAUCAAGGUCAGGCAUUGGACAUCCCUGGGGAAAUGAUUUGCUUCACACAAUGGCCAAGGUAUGCAUUGCACCCACAUGGGCUGAGUUUCAGAGCAUAGAGAUCUAAAAGUUUCUGCUUCUGUAAAUAUUACUAUUCCAUCUGACAAAACAGAUACUUGAAGAGAACAUUUUUUUAAAGGAGCAAGUGCCCUGUGAUCCUGAGGAAGAGACCUCAGCCUUUUGCCCUCCGAGGCCUUGGAAAAGUCUAGCACGGCUGGUAGUGAACGGUGACUGGCUGACACAGCGAGCCCUAGACACACGCCUCCACGUGUGCUCAUUCGAUCUUUGCAGCAGAUCACAAAGUAGGCAGGUGUCCCCCUUUUUAAAGGUGAGGAAACCGAGGCACAAAAAGGUUAAAUACUUGUCCUUGGCGAAGGGCAGAGUGGGAAUUCACAGCCCGGCUGCUUGGCACUGAACAGCUCCUUUGCUUUCCCGCUUGCUGUGCCUUCCUGCUUCUCUUCGUGGGAGUCAAGGGUGAAAUCUCCCUUCUCGCUUGGCCCUCACCUUCCUCGCCAGUCCUUCAUGUCCAGACUGCUGGCACUUUGAGCAGACUUGAACUGGACCAGUAGAUCACAAUUUCCGAUGCCGCUUUUCUCACAAGUGACCGACCUUCUCACAAGUGACCAAUUUGUGACGGAGGCGGCCAGCUCGGUGGGAAGCUUGUUAUUUCCGGCGUUGUUGCAACCCUUUCCUUUCUGGAAGGGAAUCUGUCACUCG
ensembl:lncRNA